rnacentral:misc_RNA from 1 species
AACUGACCUUUUAACUACGAUUAUUUGUUUGCAUGAUGCAUCAGACCCUAUUUUAUCCGAAGGACUGCUUUUUCCGCCUGUAGUUGCUCCACAUCCCAGCAGCUCCACAGAGGCUCUAAAAAUCAGCGUUUCUUCAUAAGAGAACUGUUAUGCAUCUCUAGCAGCUUAUCAAGGUUCGUCAGGAACCAAUCUUCCUCCUUCUGGGCAUACAACCUUUGAUGCACAGAGUCCACAUAUAUGCUUAUGCUACCAUAGCCAUAAAUCUGGUGACCAUUGUA